rnacentral:rRNA from 1 species
AUUGAACGCUGGCGGCAGGCCUAACACAUGCAAGUCGAACGGUAACAGGAAGACGCUUGCUUCUUUGCUGACGAGUGGCGGACGGGUGAGUAAUGUCUGGGAAACUGCCUGAUGGAGGGGGAUAACUACUGGAAACGGUAGCUAAUACCGCAUAACGUCGCAAGACCAAAGAGGGGGACCUUCGGGCCUCUUGCCAUCGGAUGUGCCCAGAUGGGAUUAGCUAGUAGGUGGGGUAAAGGCGCACCUAGGCGACGAUCCCUAGCUGGUCUGAGAGGAUGACCAGCCACACUGGAACUGAGACACGGUCCAGACUCCUACGGGAGGCAGCAGUGGGGAAUAUUGCACAAUGGGCGCAAGCCUGAUGCAGCCAUGCCGCGUGUAUGAAGAAGGCCUUCGGGUUGUAAAGUACUUUCAGCGGGGAGGAAGGGAGUAAAGUUAAUACCUUUGCUCAUUGACGUUACCCGCAGAAGAAGCACCGGCUAACUCCGUG